UGGGGAAUAUUGCACAAUGGGCGCAAGCCUGAUGCAGCCAUGCCGCGUGUAUGAAGAAGGCCUUCGGGUUGUAAAGUACUUUCAGCGGGGAGGAAGGGAGUAAAGUUAAUACCUUUGCUCAUUGACGUUACCCGCAGAAGAAGCACCGGCUAACUCCGUGCCAGCAGCCGCGGUAAUACGGAGGGUGCAAGCGUUAAUCGGAAUUACUGGGCGUAAAGCGCACGCAGGCGGUUUGUUAAGUCAGAUGUGAAAUCCCCGGGCUCAACCUGGGAACUGCAUCUGAUGCUGGCAAGCUUGAGUCUCGUAGAGGGGGGUAGAAUUCCAGGUGUAGCGGUGAAAUACGUAGAGAUCUGGAGGAAUACCGGUGGCGAAGGCGGCCCCCUGGACGAAGACUGACGCUCAGGUGCGAAAGCGUGGGGAGCAAACAGG
rnacentral:rRNA from 1 species